UUUGUGAAUAGUGGCAUACAUUAUUUGUAUGCUGCAAACCAAUUUGUGUCAAAAUAACACAAGUGUUUGUUUUUCCCUUCACAAUUCAAACUUAAGAUAUUUUUGGACAAACAGUAUCAUGGACACACAUGAUACGACAGAAUAGUGUGACAUUUUUAUAAUAAUGAUGUGAGUAUGUUUUAAGCUUACCUUAACCGAAUCAGCAAACGUAUAUAUAUUAUAUUGUAUUUGUGACAAAGUCUUAGUUACUCUCUCUUCAGUCUUUGUAGAGAAUGAUUGAUUCCUCCUUGUCGCUUGUUUGGAUCUCGCGCGUACAUGAGACUCUUUUGUUUUGAAGCAGUCAAUGGGAAUUCUAUAGCUGCACCUGCAUGCACAAAAUACAAAAAUAUUGUUGAAGAAGCACGUACAAAAUAAUUUUUUAUUCAUACAUAUACAUAUGAUCGAUAAAUAAUAGUUAUAAUCUAGUUGAGGAAAAAUCAUGUCAUUAAGUGGGGUUACUAAAAUAGUUAGAGAAAAGGGACAUGAGUAGUCACUUAAUCUUCUUCUAUAAAAAAAGAGCAAUGAUUGACAAGGAAAGUACAUAUAUGAAGAAUAUUGAUGAAAAUUCUAUUCCCCCCUUAGGUAUAUAUAUAAUAGAGUGACCUCAAGUGCUUGUAACAAGUAAGCAACAAUAAUGGUCAGAUGGGUAUUGGGUUGGAGGUGGUGAUAACAAUCCCAAACGUGACACCUCCUUCAAGUAUGAGGAUUGUUAGGCAUAGUGGAAAUUCACAGGUUCCAGAAUCCUCUUUAUUUGGACCGGAGGGGGACCGUGAUAACGUGGUUGACAAUAAUGUUUUUUUGUUAUAGUUUGUAGGGCUCUCAAGAUUGUGAUUGGGCCUUUCUUCCGUUAGAAGGGAGAAGUGGUGGUAUCCUUUCUCUUCGGAGUAAGUUUAGCAACUCUCUCACCUUCUCGUUUAGAGGGGAAGGCUUGUUGGUGUAUGUCUUGAAUGGGGAGUCUUGAAAUCUAUUUGCAUUGUGGUGAAUGUGUACUCAAAAUGUGAGUUGGCUUCAAAAUGUUGGCUAUGGAAUAAUUAGCUUUCGGCAAAAAGAGGUUUGGGUGAGGGGAGGUUUUGUGUGGUUGGAUAUUUUAACUCAGUUGGUAGGUAAGGCGAGAGAGAAAGGAGUUAAUAUGGAGGUUUGUCACUUUCAACAAAAAUGGUGGAGUUUGGGGGAGUUUCUUGAGGNNNNNNNNNNNNNNNNNNNNNNNNNNNNNNNNNNNNNNNNNNNNNNNUAUCUAGUUUGAAAAUUCAAAGUAGAAAAGGGAAGUUUGAUUAAUUGUUGAAGCUUUUGAAGAGUAAAGAGGCGCUUUUGUUUCAAAGGUCUAAAUCUAAAUCUAAAUGUCUCAAGAAAGGAGAUGCUAAUUCAAAAUUCUUCCAUGCGUGUGUUAAAGCUAGAUUGAAGGUUAAUUCUAUUUCAGCUCUACGUGUGGGUGCGAAUUGGUUGGAGUCCCCUAAUAUGUUUAUUUGAUAAGAAUCAUGUAUCGGCUCCCCCUUGGGAAAGACUAAAGAUUUGAGGGGGAUUGAAUUCCCUAGGAUCUAGGAGGAGGAAAAUUGGGAUCUUACUAGCCCGUUUACCGAGUUGAAAAUCGAAGUUGUGAAAGAAUGUGAUGAUAAUAAAAGCUCGGAGCCAAAUGGUUUUAAUUUUGUGUUUUUAAAGUUCUUUUGGGAAAUGUUGAAAGGUGAUAUCUGGAUAAUGUUUGAACAGUUCCGUGGGAAUGAUAUCCUUCCAAACUCAUAGUUUGUCACCUUGGUUCCAAAGGUGAUCUCUCGUUUUUCUUUCUAUGUGUUUAGGUCAAUCUCCUUCCUAGGUUGUUUGUAUAAGCCAUUGCUAAGGUGUUGGCAGUGAGAUUAUCCAAGGUGAUUUGUUCGGUGAUAUCAACUAACCAAUCAACAUUUAUUAAGGGUCGAAAUUUGGUCGAUGGUGUUUUGGUGGUGAAUGAAGUGGUAGAAAGAAGAUAGGAAUAGCAUUUGAUAGCACAUUUAUCAACAAUACCCUCCCUCUUAAACUAAUAUGUUUAAUUCUCCAAGAAUUUAAACGACCCUGAACUUUUCAGAUUUGCCCCAAUUGAAAGGCCAAGGUACUUGCCAUGUACAUAAAUGUCGAAGACCGAACGCCAUUUCAAAACCCCUAAGUGUCCAAAGAUUUUCCACCAAAUAAGCAUCAAAUUGUUGUCAAUUGGGUGCAUAACUGAAGCUGAAUCCAUAUGGAUCAAUACCGAAGUACAAAGCAAGAUUAGUGGCAUAAGGCUUCUAACAAAAGGGCUGGUGUAGACUAUAGUAGCUAUAGUUGAGACAAACUUUAAAAGUUGAUCAUUAUCUCAAAUAUGGAUGUAAGAUCAACAUAUUAUUAAAUGGACCUAUUGGUGAAUGAUCAACCUCUAAACCUUUUUUCAUUGCAGCUAAAUAAAUGUUCAGUUGAACAUGAAAUUUAUGUGAAGAAACCAAAAAUGUCUUCAACAUAGUAUGUUUAUAUGUGGAUGAUUUGUUGACAAUAGUAACAAAGAGGAGAUAAAAGAAUUCAAGAGAUUGAUAAAAUUCGAGUUUUAAAUGACUGAUAUAGGAGAACUGGCAUAUGUAGUCAUCUCUUCAUAUGAAGCCGAAUACAUUGCUGCUUGUUAUGCAGCAUGACAAACUCUACGGCUACAAUUAUCGUUGAAUGAAAUGAAGCCACAAUCAAGAUAUGCAAAGUCUUUGAAGAUAGAGAAAUUCAAAGAGACGCGAACAUUCUCAAGUGCAUUUCAAUUUAUGUUAGAGCGACAGUUACAACACAUUGUAUAAAUGUGUGAUGCAAAUAAUAAAAUUUAGUAGUGUGGUGAGAGCAUUUUAUUCUCACAACAGAACCUCUCGGAAAUGUGUGUGUUCUAACAUUGUCUCCAUCCUAUAUUUAUAAAAAAAUUACAUGUAAUUUUAGAAAUAUACUUUCAACCGAUAUAAUUUAUCUGGAUUCCAGAUUGAAUAAAAUUUGUGGUUUUUAUUCUGCAUAAAUUUGAAGUGGUAAAAUUCCUCAUUAUAAUGGUUUAUAUCUCAACACAGUUUAUAAUAUAAAUGUCAUUUAAAGUAAAUUCAAGAUAACGUAUUCUGUAAAUGUCUAACUACUUCAAUUAAGUACCUUUAACAUUUCCUCAGAACAAAAGAAUUUUUAACAUUAAUUCCAAAACAAAAAAAAAACAUUAAAAUGGUAUGUACCUUUGGUGCUUUUUGGCCUAACACAUUCAUUCUCAGGUCUCACACCAAACUCUGAAGUCCAUAGUUUCUGAAAAUUUCAAAAACAAAAAAUAUUUCACUCUCUCUAAACAAUUCCCAGGCAAAAGAAGUAGUUGUAACUCAUAAGCAAAUGCAACAACAUACCAUUGAAAUGAAGAAUAAAAAAUGUAUGCUUACCAUAAUUCUUAAUCAUGUAAUUUUUUUCUUCAAUUUCACCAAUGUUUAUGUUUUGGCUCCACCCUGUUACAAAAUCAAUGAUUAUUAGUUGUCUGUGGUAUAGAACAAAAUCUUUUUUAUAUUUUAUACAAUGAUAUAGAACAAAAUUUAAUUGCUUACACUUACACACGUUACAUGUUUAAUAAAUAACCAUAUGUCAAAACAUUAAACAAUUUCUGUCAAGUAGUAUCAUAAGAAAAAAAAAAGAUUAUUCAAUCACAUAUAUAUGUAUAUUUAGCAUAAGGAAGAAAUUGUACCUGUGAUAUAUGUGUCUGGUUGAGAGCCAUUUGUAGAGGCAUGAAGCAAAUGCCAA
rnacentral:lncRNA from 1 species